rnacentral:rRNA from 1 species
UACGUAGGGACCGAGCGUUGUCCGGAUUCAUUGGGCGUAAAGAGCUCGUAGGCGGCUGUUCAAGUCGAACGUGAAAACUCGGAGCUCAACUCCGAGCCUGCGUUCGAUACUGGACGGCUAGAGUCUGGUAGGGGGAUCUGGAAUUCCUGGUGUAGCGGUGGAAUGCGCAGAUAUCAGGAGGAACACCGGUGGCGAAGGCGGGAUCCUGGGCCAGUACUGACGCUGAGGAGCGAAAGCGGUGGGGAGCAAACAGG